ACCCGUCGGUGACCACUGUGGGAUGAUCAAUCACCACAGGCUGAUGCCUCUCUCACCAGCUAGGUAACAGAAUACUAUGUGCACACAGGCUAACUAUUCUCCGUUAGCAUGGAGUACUGACAAGUCUCAUAUCAAGGCAUAACAGAUAUUCACAUAAUCAUCAAAGAAGCGUAUAUCAUAUCAAAUAGAAUUUACUUUAACAGAUUGCGAGUGCAAAUUCAAGAAUAAAUGAGUACUCGGAAAAUAAAGCAACAUAUAUAAAUAUUCAAGAAAUUUACUAGUUGUACUCAUUAUAUAAUCAACAUACAUAUUUAUUUAUAUUAUAUGCAUAUUAAAGAUUAUUCCACUCACCCGGAAAAUACUGAACUAAAGGAAUGUCAGACGAAAGACCCAAAAAUCCGAUUAAGGAUCGUUAGGAGAACCUACAAUAAAUAUAUGAAAUAUACUCAAAAACAGAUCAAACAAAAGAUCCCAAAGCAUAAAAUAAACCGGGCUUAAUCUCCCAAGUUUAGGGACUAAAACGACAAUUUUCCAAAACAGGGACCAAAACGUAAUUUUACCAAAAUUUUGAGGACCGAACAGUAAAUAUAUAACCAUACUGAAAUUCUGUCCAUAAUUAAUCCUCAAUUCUGUCCAGGAUAUAUCAUUAUGCUCCAAGGAACAUUCUGGAACUUUACCAAAUUUUUAGGGUCAAAUUAUACUUUUUGUCAAAUUGGAGGACCAAACUGAAAAUAUUAAUUAUACUGGAAUUUUGUCCUUAAAUCAUCCUCAGUUCUGUUCAGAACCUCAAUUUAUGCCCCAGGGACCAAUCUGUAAAAUUUCCAAAGUUCGGGGACUAAACUGCAACUUUCACAAAUUGAGGGACCAAACUGAAUUUUCGUCAUCUUCAACCUCAAACCCAGAAUUUCAACAGAUUUACCUACUGUUAGUUCCAGAUUUAUACCUCAACUUCAUCAUUCAAUUCAACCUCUCCAAUUCAUCAUAUUUCUCUACAAUCUCUCCAAUUCAACUAAAAAAUCAAAUACCCACAUCAAUCAACCCCUUAAUUCAAACUAAUUCAUCAAUAAACUCAAAAUUCAAAACUCUAAAAUUAAUCAAAAACCGAAAUUUAAAGCUAAAGAAAACAUAUUAUACAUAUUCAAGCAUAAUUCUUACCCUUUUACUUGUUUUCUUCAACCUUUUCUUUUUUCCCUUAUUUUCCCCUCUUUUCUCUUCUUCUUCUUCUUCCUCUCUUCUCUCCUGCCGGUUCUCUCUCCAAAUUCAGAUCCUUCUUUUUUUUUUU
rnacentral:lncRNA from 1 species